AGCGAACGCUGGCGGCAGGCCUAACACAUGCAAGUCGAACGAACCUUUCGGGGUUAGUGGCGGACGGGUGAGUAACACGUGGGAACGUGCCUUUAGGUUCGGCAUAACUCAGGGAAACUUGUGCUAAUACCGAAUGUGCCCUUCGGGGGAAAGAUUAAUCGCCUUUAGAGCGGCCCGCGUCUGAUUAGCUAGUUGGUUGAGGUAAUGGCUCACCAAGGCGACGAUCAGUGGCUGGUCUGAGAGGAUGAUCAGCCACAUUGGGACUGAGACACGGCCCAAACUCCUACGGGAGGCAGCAGUGGGGAAUCUUGCGCAAUGGGCGAAAGCCUGACGCAGCCAUGCCGCGUGAAUGAUGAAGGUCUUAGGAUUGUAAAAUUCUUUCACCGGGGACGAUAAUGACGGUACCCGGAGAAGAAGCCCCGGCUAACUUCGUG
rnacentral:rRNA from 1 species